AAAAUCCCCCGCAUAAGUCAAAGGUGUGAUGCGGACCGAAAAAGAGUAGGGAAGCUGUUAAGCAAGCCGUCAAGAAAAGCUGCUAUUGUUUCAUUAUGGCCCGUACCGUAAACCGACACAGGUGGAUGGGGAGAGAAUCCUAAGGCCGGCGGAAGAAGUAUUGUUAAGGAACUCGGCAAAAUGACCCCGUAACUUCGGGAGAAGGGGUGCCUGCGAGAGCAGGCCGCAGAGAAGAGGCCCAAGCAACUGUUUAGCAAAAACACAGGUCUAUGCAAAACCGAAAGGUGAGGUAUAUGGGCUGACGCCUGCCCGGUGCUGGAAGGUUAAGGGGAGUGGUCAGGAAACGAGGCCACGAACUUAAGCCCCAGUAAACGGCGGCCGUAACCAUAACGGUCCUAAGGUAGCGAAAUUCCUUGUCGGGUAAGUUCCGACCCGCACGAAAGGCGUAAUGAUUUGGGCGCUGUCUCGACAAUACAUCCGGUGAAAUUGAAGUGCCAGUGAAGAUGCUGGCUACCUGCGCCAGGACGGAAAGACCCCAUGGAGCUUUACUCCAGCUUGAUACUGGGACCCGGUAUUGCAUGUACAGGAUAGGUGGGAGGCUAGGAAAUGUGGACGCCGGUCUGCAUGGAGCCGCUGUUGGGAUACCACCCUUGUGGUGCUGGGUUUCUAACCAGAGGCCGUGAACCGGUCUGGGGACAAUGUCAGGUGGGGAGUUUGACUGGGGCGGUCGCCUCCGAAAGGGUAUCGGAGGCGCCCAAAGGUUCCCUCAGAAUGGUUGGAAACCAUUCGAAGAGUGCAAAGGCAGAAGGGAGCUUGACUGCGACACCGACGGGUGGAGCAGGUACGAAAGUAGGGCUUAGUGAUCCGGUGGAAUUUAAGUGGGAAUGCCAUCGCUCAACGGAUAAAAGCUACCCUUGGGAUAACAGGCUGAUCACUCCCAAGAGUUCACAUCGACGGAGUGGUUUGGCACCUCGAUGUCGGCUCAUCGCAUCCUGGGGCUGAAGUCGGUCCCAAGGGUUGGGCUGUUCGCCCAUUAAAGCGGUACGCGAGCUGGGUUCAGAACGUCGUGAGACAGUUCGGUCCCUAUCCGGCGUGGGCGUAGGAUAUCUGAGAGGAGCUGUCCUUAGUACGAGAGGACCGGGAUGGACUGACCUCUGGUGUACCGGUUGGCGAUCAACGCCACGGCCGGGUAGCCAUGUCGGGACGGGAUAAACGCUGAAGGCAUCUAAGCGUGAAGCCCCCCUCAAGAUGAGAUAUCCCAUCGUAAGAGUAAGACCCCUUGAAGACGACGAGGUUGAUAGGGCAGGGGUGGAAGUGCUGUAAGGCAUGGAGCUGACUGCUACUAAUCGGUCGAGGGCUUGAUCAA
rnacentral:rRNA from 1 species